GGGAAAGUUGGAUGAUGAUUUUGAAUGAAUGAGGAUGAAGAUGAACUGUUAGCCUUAAAGCUUGUAUGAGGUAGUCGGAACACGAAGAGCUGUGAAGUAGGAGUGUUGUUCUUCUGACAGAAGAGAGUCCAAUGCCACAUCCUUGACUAUGGAUGAAGAGUGCACAGCAGUCUGGAAAAUGAAUUUAUCACUGAUCAGUUGCUUUCAAAAAUUACCUUAUCUGACAGUUCCCUCUUCAAGUAGAAGAGCUUUUAUAGUGCUGGUUCUUCAGUUUAGAAACUUGGAUAUUUGGUCCACAAUGCCAUUUCUUUCUGAGGUUCUGUAACAGUUCUGCUAAAUAAAAAAGUUAGCAUUCAACACAAUUUCAAAUUAUAAAGAACCAAGCUAAUAAUAAAUUCUGUUACUUAAUCCUGUUAGAGUUUGAGAUGUUUUGUGCUGUUACUUAGACUUGAGAAGUUAAAUCCAAUAUUAAGGAAAACCAGAAAGACAAUUUUCUUUUACUGCAUUGUGUUUUGAUGUUCAAUUGUCUAAAAAUUGCAUUAUUGUCAUUUGCCUUAGGUCUCAUUAAGAAAAGAGGUAAAUUUUAUGCCUCUUACCUUUUUCCUUUCUGAAACUGAAAUAGGGUGUCCUAUUCCUCCCAUGUUACAAUACCCAGCAAUUCCAGGAUUUUCACUUGCAUUCUUUAAGGCUUGCAGCUAAUGUUUCCCACUAUGAGGACACAGACACCAUUAUAUAUAGUGGCAAUGGGAAGGAACCCCCUCCAAUUAAAUAGAUUGUAAUAUUAACCUGCCAUUAAAUAAAUUGCAAUAUGAAUAAUGUUGUUAGUUAUUGUUAUCUAUUAAUUUCAUUUUAUAUGUGUUUUCUGGUAGCACUUUAAAAACUGCCACCAGUUACCUGCAUUGAUUAAAGAAAGUAGUGAUACUGCUGUGUUGUAACAUGGAUUGAAAUCUAACUAGGUGCCCUUUUCAGUAUCUGCAUUAUUGUUGUCAUUAAAUCCAUUAGUUUGAGAAUAAAACUUUUAAAUUGCUCGAUUACUUAGAACUUAUACUUUUGCUUAAUGAGUUGUCCUUUAUUGGAUAUUACAGUCAGCAGUGCUGUAUCUAGUAUCUAUAAAUACUGCAAAUACACUA